rnacentral:lncRNA from 1 species
CUCUGUGCUGCUCUGCCCCACUGCAUGCACAGACUCUGAGCUCAGAAGGGCUCAGGCCCCAUUCCCAGGCGAGAUGGUUUUGUUGCCUUAUGUCCAGUGCAUUGAGAAACGUCUCAGGAGUUCCUAAGUGGGUUAAGGACCCACUUGGCUUAAUGCCCAGGAGUAGGGUGAUUAGAGCAUAUGUUUAGGUGUACUUUUAACUUUCUAAGAAACUGCCAAAUUGUUUUCAAAGCAAAUGUACUGUCUCACAUUCCCGUGUGCAGUGUCCCACUUUCUCUACAUCCUUGAUGGCACUUGAUGUGAUUAGUCUUUUUAGUUUUAAAUUUUUUAAGAUCAAUUUGUGUGUGUGUGUGUGUGUGUGUGUGUAUUUCACAAGUAUAAUUUUGGAAGGGCUGUUUGACAAAUUUAUGCAUUACUGCCAAAUCUGUAGACAUGCUCACCACCACCACUAACAAAAACACACAUUUGCUCUUGGCUUUUUUAAAACACGUAAGUAUGGGGAGUUCCUGUUGUGGCGCAGCGGAAAUGAAUCCGACUAGGAACCACGAGGUUGCAGGUUCAAUCGCUGGCCUCGCUCAGUGGGUUGAGGAUCUGGCGUUGCCCUGAGCUGUGAUGUAGGUCACAGACGCCGCUCAGAUCUGGUGUUGCUGUGGCUGUGGCGUAGGCCAGCAGCAACAGUUCCGAUUAGACCCCUAGCCUGGGAACCAUAUGCCGAGGGUGCAGCCCUAAAAAGACAAAAGACAAAAAAAAAAAAAAAAAAAACAAAAAAAAACAGGCAAGCGUCCCAUUGCAUCACACACAGAGAUGCGGUAACAGAUCUGAGAACAUAAUUAAACAGUUGAUCUUUCUUUCACAUGAUGUGUACUUGAUAACAUAAUAAAAAUAUAAUUAUUGGUUUACAUGAGUAUCAGUGAUUUGCAGAAUAAAACCCAUAGACCAUAGACCCACCAACUUUUAGGGGCAGAAACGAGUAAAAAGGUAUUAAAAAAUAGCAUUUUGACGUUCCUGGUGUGGCUCAGCAGUACAAACCUGACUAGUAUCCCUGAGGUUUCCAGUUUCAUCCCAGGCCCCAACUGGUAGGUUAAGGAUCUGGCAUUGCCGGCAGCUGUAGUUCCGAUUCAAACCCUGGCCUGGGAGGUUCCAUAUGCCACAGUGCGACCCUGAAAAAAGAAAAUUAAAAAUGGGUCUUAACCGUGGUAUCCUGGGAAGGAUCUGAAAAGAUUGGUAAUUCAUCGGUCCUAGGUAACAUUUAGUGAAUGCCAUGGGGGACUCAAGAAAUAAGCAGGGUGCUGGGCGGUGGGGGUGGGGCAAGAUAAGUGGGCAAGGAAAAUGAAAAAUGGAAGAGAAGUGUCUGAAUUUGGGCAAGUGUGAAAAGGCCACCACAGAAACUGCUUUAGUUGCCGCACAGACGUUCUAUACACGACCUGCUCCUGGACCACCGAACGCCCGGUGUGGAGGACGAUUUAAGUAGAGCUCACAUGUCAGCAUUGAGAAAACCUCACUUAUUUGCAUCGAGAAAAACAACUUGUCUGAUUUGUAAAAAGCGUCAUUAAGUAUUCAGAGGUAGAAGUUCCCGUCAUGGCAAGUCGGUAACUCUAAUUGUUUUAGUCAGAUGUGGCCUUUAAAUUUGAAAUGUUUCUCCUGAAGAAUUUUAAAAAAUAUUUUUGUUUGUCUUUUUAGGGCUGCACCUGUGGCAUACGGAGGUUCCCAGGCUAGGGGUCGAAUCAGAGCUGUAGCUGCUGGCCUACACCACAGCCACAGCAAUGCAGGAUCCAAGCCGAGUCUACGACCUACACCACAGCUCAUGGCAACACUGGAUCCUUAAUCCAUUAAGCAAGGCCAGGAAUCAAACCUGUAUCCUCAUGGAUACGAGUCAGAUUCAUUUCCGCUGAGCCAAGAUGGGAACUCCAUGAAGAUAUUCUAAAAUAAGAGAAACUUAUGUAUCUGACUAUGAUAAAAUAUUUAAAUAAGCCUAGAAAAAAAGAAAUAUUUCUCAAAACUGUCCUAUCAAAUAGGAGCUAUUAGACAUUAGCUAUGAAACAGGUACUUUAUUUCAGCCUUUAGCUAAUUUUCAUGAAAUAUUUGUUAUCUCCAACUUCAGUUUAUUCUUAAGUCAUUUAUAAUAAGACAAUGGGGACUUCCUGUCAUGGUUCAGAGGCUAAUGAAUCCGACUAGGAACCAUGAGGUUUCGGGUUUGAUCCCUGCCCUUGCUCAGUGGGUUAAGGAUCCGGCGUUGCCGUGAGCUGUGGUGUAGGUUGCAGACUCGGCUCGGAUCCUGCGUUGCUGUGGCUCUGGCGUAGGCCAGUGGCUUGCAGCUCCGAUUAGACCCCUAGCCUGGGAAUCUCCGUAUGCCGCAGGAGUGGCCGUAGACAAGGCAAAAGACAAAAUAAAUAAGACAAUGAUUACACGUGGCCAUGUCUCCAGAGUUCCUGCUGUGGUGCAGUGAGUUCAUGAUCUGGCUUGUGUCUGUGGCGUUUCUGGUUCAAUCCCCAGCACAGCACUGUGGGCUAAGGAUCCAGUGUUGCCACAGCUGUGGCAUAGAUUGCAGCAACAGCUCGGAUUCCACCCCUGGCCCAGGAACUUCCUUAUGCUGUGGGUGCAGCCGAAAAAGCAGACAAAAAAGUAAAAGCGAAACAAAGUGAAAAGCACCAGUGAGCUGCGGGACAACCUCCAGCAACUGAUACGUGUGUCAUCGCGUCCCAGAGGGUGAGUGUGCGCUCUGGCUAGAGACACUGCUCCUGGCCAGGCUUGAACUCAGGAUUAGUGGUGCCUCUAAUCCUUUUUGCCUGGUCUUUUCUUGGCCUGGUGAUGGCCUCACACACUCGCUGCUCCGUCCUAAGCUGCACUUCUUUCUGUCUCUGCGUCAGUGGUCUUCCGUGCAAACUGCAGCUGUCUUGGUCCCAGACCCUCAACUCAGGAGAGUCCUGAGCUCUCCCUGACCCUCCAUCUGCAUCCUGAAACCUCUCCAGACAACAAGCUGGAAAAGUCACAGAACUCAGUUCACUUCCUUUCUCUCAGCGGUCCUGGCUUCCAUCGCAUUGCGCCUGAUAUAUUUCGAACUGUUGUUUCAUGUAACAGCUAUAAUUUUUUGAAUUGUUUCAGAUGAAAGGAUAAUUCUAGUCCUUGUUAAGCAGUAACUAGAAAUCUCACACAGUCAGUUUUUAUUUUUUGUGUUUUUUCUUUUUUCAUCUUUUUAGGGCUGCGAUCAUGGCAUAUGGAGGUUCCCAGGCUAGGAAUCAAAUCGGAGCUAUAGCUCCUGGCCUACACCACAGCCACAGCAAGCCAAGAUCCAAGCCAUGUCUGAGACCUACACCACAGCCCAUGGCAAUGCGGAUCCUUAACCCACUGAGUGAGGCCAGGAAUACAACCCAUGUCUUUAAGCAGGAUCCGGCAUUGCCGUGAGCUGUGGUGUAGGUUGCAGAUGCGGCUUGGAUCUGGCAUUUCUGUGGCUCUGGCGUGGGCUGGCGGCCAUAGCUCUGAUUAGACCCCUAGCCGGGGAACCUCCAUGUGCCGCAGGUGUGGCUCUAGAAGACAAAAGACAAAAAAAAAAGAUCAACUUGUG